AGUUCAAAACCCUCGCUUCACCAUCAACUUCUCGUUAAUGCAUCUAGCGGAAAUUUGAAGAACUUGAAGAACACUUGUUUCAAGUUUGAAGAACUUCUCAGACUCAUUCUAAUCGAUUUGAGCAGCUGAGAAAUUGUUGCAACGAAUCAGGUUUGAUUCUUUGAGUAUUAAGGAAUAUUGGGACACGAGCCAAAGAAGUCAAAAUCAAC